rnacentral:rRNA from 1 species
CAGCCGCCGCGGUAAUACGAAGGGGGCUAGCGUUGUUCGGAAUUACUGGGCGUAAAGCGCACGUAGGCGGAUAUUUAAGUCAGGGGUGAAAUCCCAGAGCUCAACUCUGGAACUGCCUUUGAUACUGGGUAUCUUGAGCAUGGAAGAGGUGAGUGGAAUUCCGAGUGUAGAGGUGAAAUUCGUAGAUAUUCGGAGGAACACCAGUGGCGAAGGCGGCUCACUGGUCCAUUACUGACGCUGAGGUGCGAAAGCGUGGGGAGCAAACAGGAUUAGAUACCCCCGUAGUCCCUGUCUCUUAUAC